AUUGAACGCUGGCGGCGUGCUUAACACAUGCAAGUCGAUCGGUAACAGGUGUAGCAAUACAUGCUGACGAGAGGCGGACGGGUGAGUAAUGCUUGGGAAUCUGCCUAUUAGUGGGGGACAACCCGGGGAAACUCGGGCUAAUACCGCAUACGCUCUACGGAGGAAAGCCGGGGACCGCAAGGCCUGGCGCUAAUAGAUGAGCCCAAGUCGGAUUAGCUAGUUGGUAGGGUAACGGCCUACCAAGGCGACAAUCCGUAGCUGGUCUGAGAGGACGACCAGCCACACCGGAACUGAGACACGGUCCGGACUCCUACGGGAGGCAGCAGUGGGGAAUAUUGGACAAUGGGGGCAACCCUGAUCCAGCGACGCCGCGUGGGUG
rnacentral:rRNA from 1 species